CUCUUAUUAAGAGCGGUGGAGGGAAGUGCCCUAUGAAGCCCGGCAACCGUCAUGAAAAUGAAAUGGUGCCAAGUCACUCAGAGCAAAAGCUUUGAAAGAUGAGAG
rnacentral:ncRNA from 2 species